UACGUAGGUGGCAAGCGUUGUCCGGAUUUACUGGGCGUAAAGAGCGCGCAGGCGGUCGAUUAAGUCGAAUGUGAAAGCCCCCGGCUCAACUGGGGAGGUCAUUCGAUACUGAUCGACUUGAAGGCAGGAGAGAGAAGUGGAAUUCCCGGUGUAGUGGUGAAAUGCGUAGAUAUCGGGAGGAACACCAGUGGCGAAGGCGACUUCUUGGCCUGUUCUUGACGCUGAGGCGCGGAAAGCUGGGGGAGCAAACGGG
rnacentral:rRNA from 1 species